CCUACGGGAGGCAGCAGUGGGGAAUAUUGGACAAUGGGGGCAACUCUGAUCCAGCAAUGCCGCGUGUGUGAUGAAGGCCCUAGGGUUGUAAAGCACUUUCAACGGUGAAGAUGAUGACGGUAGCCGUAGAAGAAGCCCCGGCUAACUUCGUGCCAGCAGCCGCGGUAAUACGAAGGGGGCGAGCGUUAUUCGGAAUUAUUGGGCGUAAAGGGCUCGCAGGCUGCUUGAACAGUUAGACGUGAAAUCCCCGGGCUCAACCUGGGAACUGCGUUUAAUACUAGCAAGCUAGAGAGAUAGAGAGGAAAGUGGAACUCCCAGUGUAGAGGUGAAAUUCGUAGAUAUUGGGAAGAACACCAGUGGCGAAAGCGACUUUCUGGCUAUUUUCUGACGCUGAGGAGCGAAAGCGUGGGGAGCAAACAGGAUUAGAUACCCUGGUAGUCCACGCCGUAAACGAUGUGUGCUAGAUGUUGGAAGGUUACCUUUCAGUGUCGCAGCUAACGCACUAAGCACACCGCCUGGGAAGUACGGUCGCAAGAUUAAAACUCAAAUGAAUUGACGG
rnacentral:rRNA from 1 species